UCAUUCCACAAAUUCCUUCAAAGCCAGAUUGAAUCUCUAAUGAAAGUAACCAGUUGGCAGGGAGUGAAACUUUUUCCUUUCCUGAUGCAGAUCCGUACCAGUCAUCUCUGUUGCAGGGGGCAGUCAAACUACGCUGGGCAUGGAGAGCCAGGGGCUGGGGCAUAGUGUCUAGAAGUGUUUCACACGGAGAAGCACUGGCAGAGAUUAACAUGAGCCCAUGAGGUGCAUUGAGGCCAUUGCAGAGUGGGUGGUAAACACAGCUGAGGUAUAUAAAGGUGUUUAAAUAAGCUGGUAACUUUACAAAGCAAUGCCCACAUAAUAUGGGCUAGUUGAUAUAAACCAGAUCACCCCUACAGAGAUAAGAUCAGGGCUGCAAUAGGAGCUGUAGGUCAAGAAUAUCCGCAGAGUUAUGUAUCAAGAGGAGGCAAGGGUGCAGCAUCUGCUUUGCAAGGAGUCCUGAUUUAGCUUGGAAAAUGCAUCAGUAGAGCUCAAGAUUGGACCUGAUAACAUCUGUACAAGAUAGAGGUAUGGAGAGGCUGUGCAACUUGCCCCAGGCCACACAAGAGAUGCAGCGAGGAACCUGGUCCUUAAACACUAGCUCAUCUCCUCUCUCUGCAGCAAAGAUGUUCUCCGAUGUCAUCAAACGUUUUUUAACCAGAUGCAGCAAGUUGGGCUCAAUUCAGGCCUCUUGAUAAGUAUGGAAAGAAGAAAGUGUGGAAAGAAAGUGUGGAGAAGAACUGAAAGAACUUCUCAGCCUGCAAAGUCAAGAAACAACUUUUAUGGGGGAAUAAAACAUAGCUUUGUUUUCAAAAAAAUAUUGUGUUGGACCCAGCAAACAGCUCUCAGCACAUUUUCUCAGCAAACUGACCUUCAGCCAGAGCUUGUGUAUUUGUGUGAUGCCAGCUUGGCUGCACUAACUGACCACACUGCUGAAACAGGGUCCAGAACAGAGCAGGAGGGAACAAUUCCUGUCUGUGUUUAUUAGGGGGUUGCAAAGCAGGAGGGGAGGCCAGCCUUUUUGUCAACAUGCAGUCACAGCACCUGCAAAAGCAGUCUUCUUCCUGGUCCUGCCCUGACCCAGCCCUGGUUCUGACCCAUGGCUGAGUCAUUUUUCUACCUAAGCGUGCCACCUCCUAACCCUUCCCAGAAUUAAGUUGUUUUUGAGACUGUCUCUUGGUGACCUGAAUGGGGAGUGAAGCGUUUUGUUAUUGCAAGUGCCAUGGCAGGACCCAUUGAGAGGCAGUGAGUCCCACCAGUUUGUACCACAUCAUGUCUGCAGAUGCUUCCUAUCCUGCAUUUUACUGUGCCCAUCCCAGCUGGUCCUCACAUUAAGCUAUCAAACCUCUCCUUACCCCACAGUACAUGCAAAAACUCAAGGUAUAUCCCUAGAAUUAAUGUGUUUGACCUCUCCAGCAG